rnacentral:tRNA from 2 species
CCUGCGCUGACCGGCGGGGCGCUCGCGCGCCCCGACCGCGCGAGCGGUCGAUCGCCCCCGACCGCGCGGGC